CAGCUACUGACUGAAACACCUACUGACUGUAACACCUACUGACUGUAACAGCCACUGACUGUAACACCUACUGACUGAAACAGCUACUGACUGUAACACCUACUGACUGAAACAGCUACUGACUGUGUGUGUGCAUGGCCCUGUUAUGCUGCCCUCCCCUGAGGGGUCACUGUCAGGUCAUGAACCUUGACCCCAGCUGUGCCUGAGACACCAAAGCCUGGUCCUGUCUCAUCCUCCUCCUGUUCAGAUCUUGUCCCGUUCUUCCCUUGCUGCCUGACCACAACAUGACAACAACAAUCUAGGCAUGAUAGGCUCGAUUCAGAACACACCCCUUCAAUUCGCACUUCUCAGUAGUUGGUAUUCAGACUAACCUUGUUGCAGUUGCGUAACGAGCUUUGUGCGCAUGGUUCCCUUGAAAUCCCUACCACUUGCUGGCCAACAGAUUUACUCGUGGAGUUUUCAUUGAAUAGGGGUUUUCAGUGCUUUUAUCUAAAGCUGUCCCUUUAAAUUUGGUGUACCUUUAAUUCUCUACAGACUCUAAUACAUGGAGAGAACGGUUCAGAAUAUUAGGGAUCACUGAAAUACAUGCAAAAUAUACUCUGAUCUUGUUUAUUAUUUAGGGAUAGGAAUGUUUUUACAAAUAAUAAAUAUAUUAACAGCGUUGGAGAGCCUUUAUGCACGAAAUAUAUGUGAAUAAAAAAUGCAAUGGUUUGAUUUUAUUGUGAAAGUUGCCAUAGUGGUGGCAGGUAGCCUAGUGGUUAGAGACAGGUAGCCUAGUGGUUAGAGACAGGUAGCCUAGUGGUUAGAGCAGGUAGCCUAGUGGUUAGAGCAGGUAGCCUAGUGGUUAGAGACAGGUAGCCUAGUGGUUAGAGACAGGUAGCCUAGUGGUUAGAGACAGGUAGCCUAGUGGUUAGAGACAGGUAGCCUAGUGGUUAGAGACAGGUAGCCUAGUGGUUAGAGACAGGUAGCCUAGUGGUUAGAGCAGGUAGCCUAGUGUUUAGAGACAGGUAGCCUAGUGGUUAGAGACAGGUAGCCUAGUGGUUAGAGCAGGUAGCCUAGUGGUUAGAGCAGGUAGCCUAGUGGUUAGAGACAGGUAGCCUAGUGGUUAGAGCAGGUAGCCUAGUGGUUAGAGCAGGUAGCCUAGUGGUUAGAGCAGGUAGCCUAGUGGUUUUGAGCAGGUAGCCUAGUGGUUAGAGACAGGUAGCCUAGUGGUUAGAGACAGGUAGCCUAGUGGUUAGAGACAGGUAGCCUAGUGGUUAGAGCAGGUAGCCUAGUGGUUAGAGCAGGUAGCCUAGUGGUUAGAGCAGGUAGCCUAGUGGUUAGAGGCAGGUAGCUUAGUGGUUAGAGACAGGUAGCCUAGUGGUUAGAGACAGGUAGCCUAGUGGUUAGAGACAGGUAGCCUAGUGGUUAGAGCAGGUAGCCUAGUGGUGGCAGGUAGCCUAGUGGUUAGAGACAGGUAGCCUAGUGGUUAGAGCAGGUAGCCUAGUGGUUAGAGACAGGUAGCCUAGUGGUUAGAGACAGGUAGCCUAGUGGUUAGAGACAGGUAGCCUAGUGGUUAAAGCAGGUAGCCUAGUGGUUAAAGCAGGUAGCCAAGUGGUUAGAGCAGGUAGCCUAGUGGUGGCAGGUAGCCUAGUGGUUAGAGACAGGUAGUCUAGUGGUUAGAGACAGGUAGCCUAGUGGUUAGAGCAGGUAGCCUAGUGGUUAGAGCAGGUAGCCUAGUGGUUAGAGCAGGUAGCCUAGUGGUUAGAGCAGGUAGCCUAGUGGUUAGAGACAGGUAGCCUAGUGGUUAGAGCAGGUAGCCUAGUGGUUAGAGCAGGUUGCCUAGUGGUUAGAGACAGGUAGCCUAGUGGUUAGAGCAGGUAGCCUAGUGGUUAGAGACAGGUAGCCUAGUGGUUAGAGACAGGUAGCCUAGUGGUUAGAGACAGGUAGCCUAGUGGUUAGAGACAGGUAGCCUAGUGGUGGCAGGUAGCCUAGUGGUUAGAGACAGGUAGCCUAGUGGUUAGAGACAGGUAGCCUAGUGGUUAGAGACAGGUAGCCUAGUGGUUAGAGACAGGUAGCCUAGUGGUUAGAGACAGGUAGCCUAGUGGUGGCAGGUAGCCUAGUGGUUAGAGACAGGUAGCCUAGUGGUUAGAGACAGGUAGCCUAGUGGUUAGAGACAGGUAGCCUAGUGGUUAGAGACAGGUAGCCUAGUGGUUAGAGACAGGUAGCCUAGUGGUUAGAGACAGGUAGCCUAGUGGUUAGAGAAGCGUAGCCUAGUGGUUAGAGCAGGUAGCCUAGUGGUUAGAGCAGGUAGCCUAGUGGUUAGAGACAGGUAGCCUAGUGGUUAGAGCAGGUAGCCUAGUGGUUAGAGACAGGUAGCCUAGUGGUUAGAGCAGGUAGCCUAGUGGUUAGAGCAGGUAGCCUAGUGGUUAGAGACAGGUAGCCUAGUGGUUAGAGCAGGUAGCCUAGUGGUUAGAGAAGCGUAGCCUAGUGGUUAGAGCAGCGUAGCCUAGUGGUUAGAGACAGGUAGCCUAGUGGUUAGAGCAGGUAGCCUAGUGGUUAGAGCAGGUAGCCUAGUGGUUAGAGCAGCGUAGCCUAGUGGUUAGAGACAGGUAGCCUAGUGGUUAGAGACAGGUAGCCUAGUGGUUAGAGCAGGUAGCCUAGUGGUUAGAGACAGGUAGCCUAGUGGUUAGAGCAGGUAGCCUAGUGGUUAGAGACAGGUAGCCUAGUGGUUAGAGACAGGUAGCCUAGUGGUUAGAGACAGGUAGCCUAGUGGUUAGAGCAGCGUAGCCUAGUGGUUAGAGACAGGUAGCCUAGUGGUUAGAGACAGGUAGCCUAGUGGUUAGAGCAGGUAGCCUAGUGGUUAGAACAGGUAGCCUAGUGGUUAGAACAGGUAGCCUAGUGGUUAGAGCAGGUAGCCUAGUGGUUAGAGACAGGUAGCCUAGUGGUUAGAGCAGGUAGCCUAGUGGUUAGAGCAGGUAGCCUAGUGGUUAGAGCAGGUAGCCUAGUGGUUAGAGCAGGUAGCCUAGUGGUUAGAGCAGGUAGCCUAGUGGUUAGAGCAGGUAGCCUAGUGGUUAGAGACAGGUAGCCUAGUGGUUAGAGCAGGUAGCCUAGUGGUUAGAGCAGGUAGCCUAGUGGUUAGAGCAGGUAGCCUAGUGGUUAGAGCAGGUAGCCUAGUGGUUAGAGCAGGUAGCCUAGUGGUUAGAGCAGGUAGCCUAGUGGUUAGAGCAGGUAGCCUAGUGGUUAGAGACAGGUAGCCUAGUGGUUAGAGCAGGUAGCCUAGUGGUUAGAGCAGGUAGCCUAGUGGUUAGAGCAGGUAGCCUAGUGGUUAGAGCUGGUAGCCUAGUGGUUAGAGCAGGUAGCCUAGUGGUUAGAGACAGGUAGCCUAGUGGUUAGAGCAGGUAGCCUAGUGGUUAGAGACAGGUAGCCUAGUGGUUAGAGCAGGUAGCCUAGUGGUUAGAGAAGCGUAGCCUAGUGGUUAGAGACAGGUAGCCUAGUGGUUAGAGACAGGUAGCCUAGUGGUUAGAGCAGGUAGCCUAGUGGUUAGAGUUGGACUAGUAACUGGAAGUUGCAAGAUCAAAUCCCAGAGCUGACAAGGUAAACAUCUUUAGUUCUGCCCCUGAACCAGACAGUUAACCAACUGUUAC